CCUGUGUUUUUGUAUAGUGUUUGUUUGGUCUUCAUCCCCGUGCCUUUACACGGCACGCCGUAAUUGGGGCUUAAUAAAAAUAAAAAAUACACAUUCCUGCGCCUGUCUCCCGAUCCUUCAUACCAGCCUGACAGAAUAAUCGACCAUUAAGGGAGACAGCGGGACUGGCCCGUCCGAUGAUGCUGCGACUGGUCCGUCCGGCACCGCCUCAACUUCGGCAGCUGCAACUGGGUCGUCCGACGUCGCCACAACGGGUCCGUCUGACGACACAACUUCCGCAGCUACAACCGGCCCGUCCGACGGCACUGCUACUGGCCCGUCCGAUGCUGCCGCAACUUGAUCGACCCGCACUGCGUUCCUGUGAUCGUCCUCGAGGCGAGAAGUUGUCAGGGACGAGAUCAAGUCCAGACUCAUCGUGGAGAAGAAACCUUAAGCAUACAACCAUGCCGACAACCAUCCGUGAAGUGGACAAAGGGCUGGACAACGGGCCGCACUGAAAAAAACGCAUGGUUCCCAAGAAAGCGGCCACUGUAAUUGAUGAGGGCUCAGGGCAAUACCAUUCUGCUCACCUGAUGAAGGUGCACAUGGAUCAGAUUCAAACUUUGAAGACCGAGAUCGAGUCAAUGAAGGCAGACCAGCAGAAAGAGAAACAUUCUCUGAGGGCAGAGAUACGGGCGACAGCUGAUGCAUUGGUCCAGAGCCAGGCGGUAUUGGCGGAGAGUCAGGCACACCUGUGAGCUCUGGAACUCCACCUCCGACAGGCAGAGUCAACAUAUGUGUGUUCUCUUGUUUUGUGCUGUUCUGUAGUUUCGACCCAAUGAUUCGUCUGACAAACAAGGACCUUUGUGUACUGCAGGCCCAGGCAUGUAGCUCAGGAACUGAAGCAAGGAUAUUCAUAUUCUUGAUACCAUUUGAAAGGAAACACUUUGAAGUUUGUGGAAAUGUGAAAUGAAUGUAGGAGAAUAUAACACAUUAGAUUUGGUAAAAGAUAAUACAAAGAAAACACCAUGCAUUUUGUGCAUUUUUUUUGUACCACCAUCUUUGAAAUGCAAGAGAAAGGCAAUGUAUUAUUCCAGACAAGGCGCAAUUUAGAUUUUGGCCACUAGAUGGCAGCAGUGUGUUUGCAAAGUUUUAGGCUGAUCCAAUGAGCCAUUGCAAUUCUGUUCAAAAUGUUUUGUCAAGACUGCCCAAAUGUGCCUAAUUGGUUUAUUAAUAUACUUUACAGUUCAUAAC